CCUACGGGAGGCAGCAGUGGGGAAUCUUGCGCAAUGGGCGAAAGCCUGACGCAGCCAUGCCGCGUGAAUGAUGAAGGUCUUAGGAUUGUAAAAUUCUUUCACCGGGGACGAUAAUGACGGUACCCGGAGAAGAAGCCCCGGCUAACUUCGUGCCAGCAGCCGCGGUAAUACGAAGGGGGCUAGCGUUGCUCGGAAUUACUGGGCGUAAAGGGAGCGUAGGCGGAUAGUUUAGUCAGAGGUGAAAGCCCAGGGCUCAACCUUGGAAUUGCCUUUGAUACUGGCUAUCUUGAGUAUGGGAGAGGUAUGCGGAACUCCGAGUGUAGAGGUGAAAUUCGUAGAUAUUCGGAAGAACACCAGUGGCGAAGGCGGCAUACUGGCCCAUUACUGACGCUGAGGCUCGAAAGCGUGGGGAGCAAACAGGAUUAGAUACCCUGGUAGUCCACGCUGUAAACGAUGAGUGCUAGUUGUCGGCAUGCAUGCAUGUCGGUGACGCAGCUAACGCAUUAAGCACUCCGCCUGGGGAGUACGGUCGCAAGAUUAAAACUCAAAUGAAUUGACGG
rnacentral:rRNA from 1 species